CUGCUGGAUAAUCGCGGCUGCAGGUGCCGAAAGGCCGCAGGUGAGGAAAGUCCGGGCUUCCACAGGGCAGAAUGCCGGAUAACGUCCGGCGGGGGUGACCCCAGGACCAGUGCAACAGAAAUAAACCGCCGGCCGCAUAAGGCCGGUAAGGGUGGAAAGGCGGGGCAAGAGCCCACCGCUUCCCCGGCAACGGGGAGGGCAUAUGUAAACUCCAUUCGGAAGCAAGACCGCAUAUAAAACUAUACGCAGCCCGGCGUGUUUUAGGGUAGGUCGCUUGAGCCUGCCGGCAACGGCAGGCCUAGAGAGAUGAUUAUCAGAACAUAACCCGGCUUACGGGCAGGCUUA
rnacentral:RNase_P_RNA from 1 species